CAGCGCUGGUGCUUCAGGAGGCGGCGCUCUCAGGAGUCUCCACCAUGGUCUGGGUUCUGCUCCUUCUCAAACUCCUUCCUCAGAAGA
rnacentral:pre_miRNA from 1 species